rnacentral:lncRNA from 1 species
GGAGGUCACGAGGGGGAGGUGAUCCUGCGUGAGGGGGAGGUGGGCAGCCCAACUAAUGGGCCCAAUUAUGAUGACGUGACCUGUUUUUAAAUAGUGGAGGUAGUUAUUGGUGUUCUGCUGUGGGUUGAUAUAUUUUUGAGAAAGAAAAUUUUGGAAUAGCCCUCAAUACAUCAUUUUGGAGAAGAAUUUUUUGAAAAACUCUUGGAGUUGAGCCACUAAUAAUGCAACAAGAAUCAUAACAAAACUUAAG